GACGAACGCUGGCGGCGUGCUUAACACAUGCAAGUCGAACGGAAAGGCCCCCAUCUUGGUGGGGGUGCUCGAGUGGCGAACGGGUGAGUAACACGUGGGUGAUCUGCCCUGUACUUCGGGAUAAGCUUGGGAAACUGGGUCUAAUACCGGAUAGGACCAUGGUUUAGUGUCUCAUGGUGGAAAGAUUAUUGUUUUGGUGCAGGAUGAGCUCGCGGCCUAUCAGCUUGUUGGUGGGGUAAUGGCCUACCAAGGCGUCGACGGGUAGCCGGCCUGAGAGGGUGGACGGCCACAUUGGGACUGAGGUACGGCCCAGACUCCUACGGGAGGCAGCAGUGGGGAAUAUUGCACAAUGGGCGCAAGCCUGAUGCAGCGACGCCGCGUGGGGGAUGACGGCCUUCGGGUUGUAAACUCCUUUCGUUAGGGACGAAGCCGCACUUUUUUUGGGUGUGGUGACGGUACCUUUGUGAAGAAGCACCGGCUAACUACGUG
rnacentral:rRNA from 1 species